rnacentral:rRNA from 1 species
GAUGAGCGCUAGCUACAGGCUUAACACAUGCAAGUCGAGGGGUAACGAGAGGAAAGCUUGCUUUCCUUGUCGACGACCGGCGCACGGGUGAGUAACGCGUAUCCAACCUGCCCCCAACUAGGGAAUAACCUUGCGAAAGUAAGACUAAUACCCUAUAAUUUCCUCAGAUGACAUCUGACGAGGACUAAAGAUUUAUCGGUUGUGGAUGGGGAUGCGUCUGAUUAGCUUGUUGGCGGGGUAACGGCCCACCAAGGCAACGAUCAGUAGGGGUUCCGAGAGGAAGGUCCCCCACAUUGGAACUGAGACACGGUCCAAACUCCUACGGGAGGCAGCAGUGAGGAAUAUUGGUCAAUGGGCGGAAGCCUGAACCAGCCAAGUAGCGUGCAGGAUGACGGCCCUAUGGGUUGUAAACUGCUUUUAUACAGGAAUAAAGUUAGCCACGUGUGGUUAUUUGUAGGUACUGUAUGAAUAAGGACCGGCUAAUUCCGUGCCAGCCGCCGCGGUAA